rnacentral:rRNA from 1 species
UCGUGGAGUGAUCUGUCUGCUUAAUUGCGUUUCAGAAAAUAGGUUCUUAGAGGUAUUGUUGUGCAGCGUGAUUUUCAAUUUUGCAUUCGUGCAAAUUUGUUUGUCCCUGUACACAGCCCAUGAACCUUGAAGGUAACGAACGUGACCGCAACCUCUUGUUGCCUUCCUUGCAUCUUUUGAUGCACUGCUACCUCGUGAUUUUUCCUUUUGGAAAGUUGUGAGGACUAGUAGAGUGGAGUGCAAACUAGAGGGACCGCCGACCUUUUUAAAACGGAGGAAGGUUGCGGCAAUAACA